rnacentral:pre_miRNA from 1 species
UCUUAUGGAUGAACAAAAAAGUGGUUUCUUGAGAUGGAAUCUACUCCUGGUGAAGAUGCUGUAAA